rnacentral:rRNA from 1 species
GCAGCCGCGGUAAUACAGAGGGUGCGAGCGUUGUUCGGAAUCACUGGGCGUAAAGCGCACGUAGGCGGAUAUUUAAGUCGGGGGUGAAAUCCCGGGGCUCAACCCCGGAACUGCCUUUGAUACUGGGUAUCUUGAGUUCGAGAGAGGUGAGUGGAAUUCCGAGUGUAGAGGUGAAAUUCGUAGAUAUUCGGAGGAACACCAGUGGCGAAGGCGGCUCACUGGCUCGAUACUGACGCUGAGGUGCGAAAGCGUGGGGAGCAAA